GUGGGGAAUAUUGGACAAUGGGCGCAAGCCUGAUCCAGCCAUGCCGCGUGAGUGAUGAAGGCCUUAGGGUUGUAAAGCUCUUUCACCGGUGAAGAUAAUGACGGUAACCGGAGAAGAAGCCCCGGCUAACUUCGUGCCAGCAGCCGCGGUAAUACGAAAGGGGCUAGCGUUGUUCGGAAUUACUGGGCGUAAAGCGCACGUAGGCGGAUAUUUAAGUCAGGGGUGAAAUCCCAGAGCUCAACUCUGGAACUGCCUUUGAUACUGGGUAUCUCGAGUAUGGAAGAGGUAAGUGGAAUUCCGAGUGUAGAGGUGAAAUUCGUAGAUAUUCGGAGGAACACCAGUGGCGAAGGCGGCUUACUGGUCCAUUACUGACGCUGAGGUGCGAAAGCGUGGGGAGCAAACAGGAUUAGAUACCCGGGUAGUCC
rnacentral:rRNA from 1 species